CUACGGGCGGCUCCAGUAAGGAAUAUUGCGCAAUGGAGGCAACUCUGACGCAGCCAUGCCGCGUGCAGGAAGAAGGCCUUAUGGGUCGUAAACUGCUUUUAUUUAGGAAUAAACCCCCGAACGUGUUCGGGGCUGAAGGUACUAAACGAAUAAGCACCGGCUAACUCCGUGCCAGCAGCCGCGGUAAUACGGAGGGUGCAAGCGUUAUCCGGAUUUAUUGGGUUUAAAGGGUGCGCAGGCGGGCGAUUAAGUCAGUGGUGAAAUCCCGGGGCUCAACUCCGGAACGGCCAUUGAUACUGAUAGUCUUGAGUUUGGUUGAAGUGGGCGGAAUGUAGCAUGUAGCGGUGAAAUGCAUAGAUAUGCUACAGAACACCAAUCGCGAAGGCAGCUCACUAAGCCAAAACUGACGCUCAUGCACGAAAGCGUGGGGAUCAAACAGGAUUAGAUACCCCUGUAGUC
rnacentral:rRNA from 1 species